rnacentral:lncRNA from 1 species
AGAACUGUGAUGGGUACUUACGAAGUUUCUUACAGUCAAAAACAUCUUCCAAAAUCCUUAUCCUAUCACCUCACCCCAAACUGGAAGACUAUCGAUUACACAGAUAAAGUCUGUUUCAGAAGAUGAGUCAUAGUCAAUACAAAUUAAGCCAAAGUAGGGAAUUCUUUGUGACCCUCAAUAUCUUAUCGCUCAUUUGUUGAUCAACACUUUUGUGUUUUCUUGAAGCCAAUUUCAGUGUAAGUGGUAUUAUUGUGUGAGCCAAUACGACUCUGAUCAAGCCAGUAAACAACUAAGACCCAUCUAGUGCAUUAAGAAAGAGCAACGUUUGUAUGUGUUUGGAAAUACUAAGGUCUCAUCACCAGACUGGUCAGCCCCAGCGGUCUAGUGGUUAAGAUCCGGCGCUCUCACCACCGCUGGCCCAGAUUGGUCUCCGCGUCAGGGAACCACACUACACACCACUUGUCUGUCAGUUGUCAUACUGUGGCAGUUGCAUGUUGCUGUAAUGCUGAAAGCUCUGCUGUACACAGGGUCACUAGGAGUUGGAAUUGGCACCACGGCACUGACAACAACAUCUCCAGGUUACCUAAAUCUGUCAUUUCAGAUCAAUGAAAUUAAGCAUUCAUACUCCCAGGAAAUCCUGUUUUCCAGGAAAUAGAGCAGCACUGAGUAUUUUCAUAUUACACUUUAUGCUGGGUCUUUUUUUUUUUUAAUUUCAAAGUAGGAAUCUAAGCUAUGCCUUCCAGAGGUCAGCUACAAAGGAAAAUGCAACACCACUUUGUUCCUGAGCCUUUGUCUUUAUCUUAACACAAUUCAAUUCAUGACAACAUCUAUUUUGAAGAGAACGUUCGAGAACUUCAUCUAUCUUGUGACUAUCCGCCUGAAAUUCCCCAAGUUUUUUUAGGGGGGUGAUCCAUUAUCUAAAUACUUUCAAGAGGCCGAGCUGACUAUUGAUGUAGAAUGAUUCAGACAACAAGAAUUUGCUCCCAGAACUUAUAGCUAUAUCGACAUAUGGAGAGCAAACCAGAAUGCGACCACUGCAGCCCUGUCCUCGUUUUCCUGCCUUCCUGUUCCUCGGAGGGAUGACGGUUUUUGACUCAUUUGCUGAAAGCCUGAUAGACAUCUUGAAUAAUUUACCAACUUCGAGUCUAGAUUUCAAACUUAAGCUAAACCAAACAGACGACCUAUACACAGGAUAAAUGGGAAUAUUGUGCACAUAUAUUUGGAUGCAUGCAGGAUGUAUAUAUAUAUAUACAAAAUAUUUAAU